rnacentral:rRNA from 1 species
UCGACUGAGUCCCGGAGCAAK